rnacentral:rRNA from 1 species
CUUACAGUCGUGAGGAAGGGUGUGUAGUUAAUAGCUGCAYCUYUUGACGUUASCGACAGAAGAAGCACCGGCUAACUCCGUGCCAGCAGCCGCGCUAAUACGGAGGGUGCGAGCGUUAAUCGGAAUUACUGGGCGUAAAGCGCAUGCAGGUGGUUCAUUAAGUCAGAUGUGAAAGC